rnacentral:rRNA from 1 species
CGCUAAUGUGCCCCGGACUCUGGGAUAGCUUUCCGAAAGGAAAGGUAAUACCAGAUGAGACCACGAACAGGCAUCUGUUUGUGCUCAAAGGUCCGCCGGUCUGGGAGCAGGCGAUUUUGUAUCAGCUAGUUGGUGAGGUAACGGCUCACCAAGGCGACGACGCAUAGCCGGACUGAGAGGUUGGCCGGCCUCAUUGGGACUGAGACACUGCCCAG